UACGAAGGGGGCUAGCGUUGCUCGGAAUCACUGGGCGUAAAGGGUGCGUAGGCGGGUCUUUAAGUCAGAGGUGAAAGCCUGGAGCUCAACUCCAGAACUGCCUUUGAUACUGAGGAUCUCGAGUUCGGGAGAGGUGAGUGGAACUGCGAGUGUAGAGGUGAAAUUCGUAGAUAUUCGCAAGAACACCAGUGGCGAAGGCGGCUCACUGGCCCGAUACUGACGCUGAUGCACGAAAGCGUGGGGAGCAAACAGG
rnacentral:rRNA from 1 species